AUACCAUGGUGAGGGCAAGCUCUUGUAUAUCCCUUCAUAUGCUCACAUGCUUCAUACAAACUCUCUUCUCCGCUUUGCUCAAAUCUAGCAAUAUCAUUCCUUAUCCU
rfam:Arabis alpina cultivar Pajares scaff_58639_1_contig_8, whole genome shotgun sequence.